rnacentral:rRNA from 1 species
CCUACGGGUGGCAGCAGUGAGGAAUAUUGGUCAAUGGGCGCGAGCCUGAACCAGCCAAGUAGCGUGAAGGAUGACUGCCCUACGGGUUGUAAACUUCUUCUAUAAAGGAAUAAAUUGAGGUACGUGUGCCUUUUUGUAUGUACUUUAUGAAUAAGGAUCGGCGAACUCCGUGCCAGCAGCCGCGGUAAUACGGGGGACCCGAGCGUUAUCCGGAUUUAUUGGGUUUAAAGGGAGCGUAGAUGGGUUGUUAAGUAAGUUGUGAAAGUUUGCGGCUCAACCGUAAAAUUGCAAUUGAUACUGGCAGCCUUGAGUACAGUUGAGGUAGGCGGAAUUCGUAGUGUAGCGGUGAAAUGCUUAGAUAUCACGAAGAACUCCGAUUGCGAAGGCAGCUUACUAAACUGCCACUGACGUUGAUGCUCGAAAGUGUGGGUAUCAAACAGGAUUAGAUACCCUAGUAGUC